UACGAAGGGGGCUAGCGUUGCUCGGAAUCACUGGGCGUAAAGCGCACGUAGGCGGAUUGUUAAGUCAGGGGUGAAAUCCUGGAGCUCAACUCCAGAACUGCCUUUGAUACUGGCGAUCUUGAGUCCGGGAGAGGUGAGUGGAACUGCGAGUGUAGAGGUGAAAUUCGUAGAUAUUCGCAAGAACACCAGUGGCGAAGGCGGCUUCUUGGCCUGUUCUUGACGCUGAGGCGCGAAAGCUGGGGGAGCAAACGGG
rnacentral:rRNA from 1 species